AGCUUGAAAAUAGUAGAGGGGACAGAAGGGAUUAUUUUGUCUGAAGCU
rnacentral:sRNA from 1 species